ACAGCUCAGUUUAGUUUUUAUCUAGAGCUCUCGGGUCAGGCUGCAAACAAGGUCUGAAAAUCUCUGAACAAAAUUUCACUGACAAAAUCUACAGUUUCCACAUACAGAUUUUCAGUUCCUUUAUCCGUGAAGUUUAGCAUCAACAGCAAAAUCAUGUGUGGCUUUGGGUGCGGUCCUUAUGGCUACGGACCUUCGGGACCCUGCGGACCCUGGUGCGGACCUUGGUGUGGUCCCUGCGCCUUGUCGCUGGGACCCUGCAGCUACUCGUGCUGCGGUGGGCCCAAAGGCUGUGGACCGAGCGGGCCCGCCUGUUGGCCGUACGGCCUGUACACUUGCUAAACUUCAGAAGGGUUUUAGGAAUAUGUGAGCCAUUCCCGAAAAAACUGUACUGCAGGCCGCUAAAUAUUUCACACUGGAUGAACUGAAAUUUGAACAAAAUGAAUACCUGUCUUAAUUAAUAAAAAUUAGUGUGUGCCUCACCGUA